GCCUCUGUGGAUCAAGGUUAGGUCACUUCAAUGUUGUACAUUUUGGAUGUUGGAAAUUAUACAUGAGGAGAUGUGGGUUCCAAUCCCACCAGAGGCA